GUGCGCUACUCUCUACGUCGGCACGCCCACGACUACCUCACGUCGCCAUACCUGUGAGGAGAUAGCAAAAACAGUAGAGAAGUUGGUUGUAUUUUUAGCUAUAAAGAGCCCGAAUAAUGAUGAUUUAAUACAAAUAUGAAGUAUAAGAGAGGGAGGAGGGGUCUUACCGGAGUCGUGCUCGUGCCGUCGGCGACCAUGGCACGUGGGAUCUUUGAUGGAGGCGGCGUCUGACAAAAAUGGGAAGAGAAAUGAGAGAGCCUUUGAAAGUUUUUAGUUUUU